AUUUAAAUAGCUUAAAAUUAGAGCGUAACACUGAAGAUGUUAAAGUAAUUGUAAAAUUUUUAAAUA
rnacentral:tRNA from 1 species